rnacentral:rRNA from 1 species
GGCGAUUUCCGAAUGGGGAAACCCAGUGUGAUUCGUCACACUAUCAUUAACUGAAUCCAUAGGUUAAUGAGGCGAACCGGGGGAACUGAAACAUCUAAGUACCCCGAGGAAAAGAAAUCAACCGAGAUUCCCCCAGUAGCGGCGAGCGAACGGGGAGGAGCCCAGAGCCUGAAUCAGUGUGUGUGUUAGUGGAAGCGUCUGGAAAGGCGCGCGAUACAGGGUGACAGCCCCGUACACAAAAAUGCACAUGCUGUGAGCUCGAUGAGUAGGGCGGGACACGUGGUAUCCUGUCUGAAUAUGGGGGGACCAUCCUCCAAGGCUAAAUACUCCUGACUGACCGAUAGUGAACCAGUACCGUGAGGGAAAGGCGAAAAGAACCCCGGCGAGGGGAGUGAAAAAGAACCUGAAACCGUGUACGUACAAGCAGUGGGAGCACGCUUAGGCGUGUGACUGCGUACCUUUUGUAUAAUGGGUCAGCGACUUAUAUUCUGUAGCAAGGUUAACCGAAUAGGGGAGCCGAAGGGAAACCGAGUCUUAACUGGGCGUUAAGUUGCAGGGUAUAGACCCGAAACCCGGUGAUCUAGCCAUGGGCAGGUUGAAGGUUGGGUAACACUAACUGGAGGACCGAACCGACUAAUGUUGAAAAAUUAGCGGAUGACUUGUGGCUGGGGGUGAAAGGCCAAUCAAACCGGGAGAUAGCUGGUUCUCCCCGAAAGCUAUUUAGGUAGCGCCUCGUGAAUUCAUCUCCGGGGGUAGAGCACUGUUUCGGCAAGGGGGUCAUCCCGACUUACCAACCCGAUGCAAACUGCGAAUACCGGAGAAUGUUAUCACGGGAGACACACGGCGGGUGCUAACGUCCGUCGUGAAGAGGGAAACAACCCAGACCGCCAGCUAAGGUCCCAAAGUCAUGGUUAAGUGGGAAACGAUGUGGGAAGGCCCAGACAGCCAGGAUGUUGGCUUAGAAGCAGCCAUCAUUUAAAGAAAGCGUAAUAGCUCACUGGUCGAGUCGGCCUGCGCGGAAGAUGUAACGGGGCUAAACCAUG